AAUGAGUAUAAAUAGAAGUGCAUUUUUGUACUUCUUAUCAUUUCAAAAUUAGUGCUCAAAAUCCAUAUCUUAAUAUGUUUGGAAGGCGAUAUAUUCUGUUUUGCGUGACAUAUCUGCUGAAGUGCAUACACGGCCUUCGAAUCAAUUUGACCACAUUCGACAACUGUCAGGAUGUGACACUGGAUUACAAUAAGGUGCCUGUUGCGUUGACCAAGGUUACAUACGACCGAGACGCCGAUGGCGUUUGUAACACGCUGCAUGCCCAGUACGAAAUCCGCAAAAGCACCGAGGACGUCGCAUGGGAGCUAGUGCUGACUACGUACAAGUGCCCACUGGGUGGUACCGCCGUUUGUUUGGAUAACCCGAUGGAAUAUAUCGAGCCGAUGCACUGCGAUAGAUUCCACUCGGACGACAGUGGGCCAUGGUUUAUGUUGUCCAGCGCCAUGAUUGAUGGCGAUAAAUGUGGACGACAUGAGGGCGUAUUCAACUUAGACACGGCGGUGAUGAAGAUUAGCUAUCUCCACAGCUACACCGAACUAGGCAAAGGUACGUAUCGAGUGCGUAUGCUUUUCCAUAUUCCUGGGACCGACUUGGCGGAGAAAAACGUUAAAGGAUGCUGUGAGAUGGACUUUGACGUCAUCGAUGAUUAAAAUGGACCUCCCCGACUACGGAACUUUGAAUAGAUGAAUUUAUAUUUAAGAAGAUCAGUAUUGCAGGAGCAUGUCAAGUAGUUUAUCAUUAUAGCGGUAAGUGUAAGAAUAACAAAAAAUAAAAAGCAGCGACAAUAAUAAAUACAUGAAAAAUAUCC